rnacentral:rRNA from 1 species
AGCAGCCGCGGUAAUUCCAGCUCCAAUAGCGUAUAUUAAAGUUGUUGCAGUUAAAAAGCUCGUAGUUGAAUUUCAGGCCUGGCUGGGCGGUCCGCCCUUUGGGUGAGUACUGCCUGUGGUCGGGUCCCUACCUUCUGGCGAAGCGUCAUGGCCUUAACCGGCCGUGGCGGGGAACCAGGACUUUUACUGUGAAAAAAUUAGAGUGUUCAAAGCAGGCAGUCGCUUGGAUACAUUAGCAUGGAAUAAUGGAAUAGGACAGUGGUUCUAUUUUGUUGGUUUCUAGGACCGUUGUAAUGAUUAAUAGGGAUAGUUGGGGGCGAUUAGUAUUCAAUUGUCAGAGGUGAAAUUCUUGGAUUUAUUGAAGACUAACUACUGCGAAAGCAUUUGCCAAGGAUGUUUUCAUUAAUCAAGAACGAAAGUUAGGGGAUCGAAGACGAUCAGAUACCGUCGUAGUCUUAACCAUAAACUAUGCCGACUAGGAAUCGGGCGCUGUUGACUAAAAUGACGCGCUCGGCACCUC